rnacentral:rRNA from 1 species
AUGGAUGUGUUGUCCCAUGAUCAGUAUGUGCAACUGUCGGUAACGCUUUGGGCGCUUUGGUCGGCUCACCGCAAAGCUAUACAUGAAGGACUCUUCCAGAGUCCUCAGUCCAUACAUGCUUUCAUCAAUAGCUUCAUCAGCGAGCUAAACUUGAUCAGGGAGAACCAACAUAUACAUGCGCACCGGGGCGGAUCAAGGGCCACCCAUCCUCUCUGACCCAAAGCACCACCGGGCGGUUCCGCGAAAAUCCAUGUUGAUGCGGCAGUUCUGAAAGGAAGAGAGGGAUCUACAGCGGCUGUUUGUCGAGACAGCCUAGGAAACUUCCUAGGAAGUUCGGCAUUGGUUAUACAGGGAGUUGACGAUUCCUCUAUUCUGGAGACCAUAGCAUGCAGAGAGGCAUUGGCAUUGGCACAAGACCUCCAGCUACAACAUAUGAUCGUAGCAUCAGAUGCCAAGCAAGUUGUCCAGGAGAUAAACACCAAAUCCAGAGGCAGAAACGGAGCAAUUAUCAAUGAGAUUAACUCAUAUUCUAGUUUGUUUCAAUGUAAUUUUUCUUUUGAAAGUUGUAGGGCAAACUUAGAAGCUCAUAAACUAGCCAAGCACUCGUUGUCUUUAGGUCUGGGGCGCCACAUUUGGUUUGGCCAAUCCCAUGAUCUUGCUUGUAUCCCACAAUCCGUGGUAUUCGAUUAA